rnacentral:lncRNA from 1 species
CCUGUCCCAGGUGUACCCCAGGUGUGUGUUACCUGUCCCAGCUGUGUGUUACCUGUCCCAGGUGUGCACAGGUGUGUCUGUACCUGUCCCAGGUGUGUCUGUACCUGCCCCAGGUGUGUCUGUACCUGUCCAGGUGUGUCUGUACCUGUCCCAGGUGUGUGUUACCUGUCCCAGGUGUGUGUUACCUGUCCCAGGUGUGUCCAGGUGUGUCUCACCUGAGCGGCUGCCGGCAGUGGGCCGCUGUCAGCACCCAGCGGUCGCUCACCAGGCUCCCCCCGCACAGGAUCUGCCCCCGUUUGGUCAGGGCCACCUGGAACGGCCGCUGGGCCACCGAGCACGGCCGGCCCCCGAUGAUCCGCGACUCGUCCUCCUCGGGGACUGCAGGCAAUUAAUAACAGUUAUUAAUAAUUAAUAAUUGAUAAUUAAUGAUGAUCCGCGACUCGUCCUCCUCGGGGACUGCAGGCAAUUAAUAACAAUUAUUAAUUAUUAAUAAUUAAUAAUUAAUAAUUAAUAAUUAAUAAUAAUAAUUAAUAAUUGAUAAUUGAUAAUUAAUGAUGAUCCGCGACUCGUCCUCCUCGGGGACUGCAGGGAAUUAAUAACAAUAAUUAAUAAUUAAUAAUUGAUAAUUGAUAAUUGAUAAUUGAUAAUUGUUAUUAAUAAUUAAUAAUUGAUAAUUAAUGAUGAUCCGCGACUCGUCCUCCUCGGGGACUGCAGGGAAUUAAUAACAGUUAUUAAUAAUUAAUAAUUGAUAAUUAAUGAUGAUCCGCGACUCGUCCUCCUCGGGGACUGCAAGGCAAUUAAUAACAGAUUAUUAAUAAUUGAUAAUUAAUGAUGAUCCGCGACUCGUCCUCCUCGGGGACUGCAGGGAAUUAAUAACAAUAAUUAAUAAUUAAUAAUUGAUAAUUGAUAAUUGAUAAUUGAUAAUUGAUAAUUGAUAAUUAAUGAUGAUCCGCGACUCGUCCUCCUCAGGGACUGCAAAGCAAUUAAUAACAGUUAUUAAUAAUUAAUAAUUGAUAAUUAAUGAUGAUCCGCGACUCGUCCUCCUCGGGGACUGCAAGGCAAUUAAUAACAAUUAUUAAUAAUUGAUAAUUAAUGAUGAUCCGCGACUCGUCCUCCUCGGGGACUGCAGGGAAUUAAUAACAAUUAUUAAUAAUUAAUAAUUAAUAAUUAAUAAUUAAUAAUUAAUAAUUAAUAAUGAAUAAUUAAUAAUUAAUAAUUAAUGAUGAUCCGCGACUCAUCCUCCUCGGGGACUGCAAGGCAAUUAAUAACAGUUAUUAAUAAUUAAUAAUUGAUAAUUAAUGAUGAUCCGCGACUCGUCCUCCUCCGGAACUGCAGGGAAUUAAUAAUUAAUAAUUGAUAAUGAUCUGUGACUCAUCCUCGGGAACUGCGGGAAUGGGGAAUUAAUAAUUAAU